rnacentral:rRNA from 1 species
AGCGAACGCUGGCGGCAGGCCUAACACAUGCAAGUCGAACGGAUCCUUCGGGAUUAGUGGCGGACGGGUGAGUAACACGUGGGAACGUGCCCUUUGGUUCGGAACAACUCAGGGAAACUUGAGCUAAUACCGGAUGUGCCCUUCGGGGGAAAGAUUUAUCGCCAUUGGAGCGGCCCGCGUCUGUUUAGCCAGUUGGUGAGGUAACGGCCCACCAAGGCGACGAUCAGUAGCUGGUCUGAGAGGAUGAUCAGCCACACUGGAACUGAGACACGGCCCAGACUCCUACGGGAGGCAGGAGUGGGGAAUCUUGCGCAAUGGGCGAAAGCCUGACGCAGCCAUGCCGGGUGAAUGAUGAAGGUCUUAGGAUUGUAAAAUUCUUUCAGCGGGGACGAUAAUGACGGUACCCGCAGAAGAAGCUCCGGCUAACUUCGUG